GAGUAAUGUCUGGGAAACUGCCUGAUGGAGGGGGAUAACUACUGGAAACGGUGGCUAAUACCGCAUAACGUCGCAAGACCAAAGAGGGGGACCUUCGGGCCUCUUGCCAUCAGAUGUGCCCAGAUGGGAUUAGCUUGUUGGUGAGGUAACGGCUCACCAAGGCGACGAUCCCUAGCUGGUCUGAGAGGAUGACCAGCCACACUGGAACUGAGACACGGUCCAGACUCCUACGGGAGGCAGCAGUGGGGAAUAUUGCACAAUGGGCGCAAGCCUGAUGCAGCCAUGCCGCGUGUAUGAAGAAGGCCUUCGGGUUGUAAAGUACUUUCAGCGGGGAGGAAGGUGUUGUGGUUAAUAACCGCAGCAAUUGACGUUACCCGCAGAAGAAGCACCGGCUAACUCCGUGCCAGCAGCCGCGGUAAUACGGAGGGUGCAAGCGUUAAUCGGAAUUACUGGGCGUAAAGCGCACGCAGGCGGUCUGUCAAGUCGGAUGUGAAAUCCCCGGGCUCAACCUGGGAACUGCAUUCGAAACUGGCAGGCUUGAGUCUUGUAGAGGGGGGUAGAAUUCCAGGUGUAGCGGUGAAAUGCGUAGAGAUCUGGAGGAAUACCGGUGGCGAAGGCGGCCCCCUGGACAAAGACUGACGCUCAGGUGCGAAAGCGUGGGGAGCAAACAGGAUUAGAUACCCUGGUAGUCCACGCCGUAAACGAUGUCUACUUGGAGGUUGUGCCCUUGAGGCGUGGCUUCCGGAGCUAACGCGUUAAGUAGACCGCCUGGGGAGUACGGCCGCAAGGUUAAAACUCAAAUGAAUUGACGGGGGCCCGCACAAGCGGUGGAGCAUGUGGUUUAAUUCGAUGCAACGCGAAGAACCUUACCUGGUCUUGACAUCCACAGAAGAAUCCAGAGAUGGAUUUGUGCCUUCGGGAACUGUGAGACAGGUGCUGCAUGGCUGUCGUCAGCUCGUGUUGUGAAAUGUUGGGUUAAGUCCCGCAACGAGCGCAACCCUUAUCCUUUGUUGCCAGCGGUUAGGCCGGGAACUCAAAGGAGACUGCCAGUGAUAAACUGGAGGAAGGUGGGGAUGACGUCAAGUCAUCAUGGCCCUUACGACCAGGGCUACACACGUGCUACAAUGGCGCAUACAAAGAGAAGCGACCUCGCGAGAGCAAGCGGACCUCAUAAAGUGCGUCGUAGUCCGGAUUGGAGUCUGCAACUCGACUCCAUGAAGUCGGAAUCGCUAGUAAUCGUGGAUCAGAAUGCCACGGUGAAUACGUUCCCGGGCCUUGUACACACCGCCCGUCACACCAUGGGAGUGGGUUGCAAAAGAAGUAGGUAGCUUAACCUUCGGGAGGGCGCUUACCACUUUGUGAUUCAUGACUGGGGUGAAGUCGUAACAAGGUAACCGUAGGGGAACCUGCGGUUGGAUCACCUCCUUACCUUAAAGAAGC
rnacentral:rRNA from 4 species